GCGGAGAUUGCCGAGCUAGGACAAAGGCGAUGGAUUCAGGGUCCAUUUCCGCAGGGAUUCGUGGGUUCAAAUCCCACUCUCCGCA
rfam:Ferroplasma sp. Type II genomic scaffold AMDT4_FER2S00070, whole genome shotgun sequence.